rnacentral:rRNA from 1 species
CCUACGGGUGGCAGCAGUGAGGAAUAUUGGUCAAUGGACGAGAGUCUGAACCAGCCAAGUCGCGUGAAGGAUGACUGCCCUAUGGGUUGUAAACUUCUUUUAUAUGGGAAUAAAACGUUCCACGUGUGGGAUUUUGUAUGUACCAUAUGAAUAAGGAUCGGCUAACUCCGUGCCAGCAGCCGCGGUAAUACGGAGGAUCCGAGCGUUAUCCGGAUUUAUUGGGUUUAAAGGGGGCGUAGGUGGUGUGUUAAGUCAGUUGUGAAAGUUUGUGGCUCAACCGUAAAAUUGCAGUUGAAACUGGGAGUCUUGAGUACAGUAGAGGUGGGCGGAAUUCGUGGUGUAGCGGUGAAAUGCUUAGAUAUCACGAAGAACUCCGAUUGCGAAGGCAGUCCACUGGACUGCAACUGACACUGAGGCUCGAAAGUGUGGGGAUCAAACAGGAUUAGAUACCCUUGUAGUC